GUAAAUAAUAAAGGGCGUAUGGUGGAUGCCUAGGCUCUCAGAGGCGAUGAAGGACGUGAUAAGCUGCGAAAAGCUCCGUUUAGGUGCAAAUAACCUUUGAUGCGGAGAUCUCCGAAUGGGAUAACCCAAUAUGUUGAAGACAUAUUAUACCGUAAGGUAGGCAAACGCAGGGAACUGAAACAUCUAAGUACCUGCAGGAGAAGAAAACAAAAGUGAUUCCCCCAGUAGCGGCGAGCGACCGGGGAUAAGCCCAAACCGUUAUUGUUUCGGCAUUAACGGGGUAGUAGGACUGCAAGCUUGAUGAAAUAAAUGAAAUGGAACACCUUGGAAAAUGUGAUCACAGAGGGUGAUAAUCCCGUACAUGCAAGUUUAUGAAUCAUAGCAGACUCCUGAGUAAGUCGGGACACGUGUAAUCCUGACCGAAUCCGCCGGGACCAUCCGGCAAGGCUAAAUACUCCUGAGAGACCGAUAGUGAACCAGUACCGUGAGGGAAAGGUGAAAAGCACUUCGAACAGAAGAGUGAAAUAGUCCCUGAACCCAUACGCCUACAAGCAGUCGGAGCCGCUUCGUGCGGUGACGGCGUGCCUUUUGCAUAAUGAGCCUACGAGUUACUCAUCACCAGCGAGGUUAAGUACUUCAGGUACGUAAGCCGAAGCGAAAGCGAGUCUGAAUAGGGCGUCAAGUUGGUGGUGGUAGACGCGAAACCUUAGUGAUCUACCCAUGGGCAGGGUGAAGGUUUGGUAACACAAACUGGAGGCCCGAACCGGUAAACGUUGAAAAGUUUUCGGAUGACCUGUGGGUAGGGGUGAAAGGCCAAUCAAACUGGGAAAUAGCUCGUACUCUCCGAAAUGCAUUUAGGUGCAGCCUCUGUUGUUUUGUUCUAGAGGUAGAGCUACUGAUUGGAUGCGAGGGCUUCACCGCCUAUCAAAUCCGGCCAAACUCCGAAUGCUAGAACAUGAAGACAGGGAGUGAGCCAGCGGGUGCUAAGGUCCGUUGACGAAAGAGGGAGAACUCAGACCAUCAGCUAAGGUCCCCAAUUGUAUGCUAAGUUGGAAUUAAAACGGGGUGGGACUGCUUAGACAGCUAGGAUGUUGGCUUGGAAGCAGCCAUUCAUUUAAAGAGUGCGUAACAGCUCACUAGUCGAGCGGUCCUGCAUGGAUAAUACGCGGGCAUAAGCAUAUAACCGAAGCUAUGGGAUUGUAGAUGAUACAAUCGGUAGGAGAGCAUUCCAUUCAGCGUAGAAGCAGUAUCGUGAGGUAUUGUGGAGCGGAUGGAAAAGCAAAUGUAGGCAUAAGUAACGAUAAUGCGGGUGAGAACCCCGCACGCCGAAAGAUCAAGGAUUCCCCGGCAAUGUCAAUCAUCCGGGGGUAAGUCGGAUCCUAAGGGUAAGCCGAGUGGCGAUCCCGAUGGCAAACAGGUUAAUAUUCCUGUACUGAUCAUAACUGCGAUGCAGCGACGCAGAGGUGACACUGCUGCGUACUGACGGAAUAGUACGUUGAAACCCGUAUUCUUUGAUACCGGUAGUGAAGCACGCCGGUAGAGAUGAAAGGUGAUAGUACCGCAAUGCUUCGGUUGCGCGGAUAACGCAGGUAAGCUGACUGCCAAGAAAACCUGCUAAGCUUCAGGUAAUGAUCAUCCGUACUGUAAACGGACACACGUGAUCAGGUAGAAAAUACUAAGGCGCUCGAGAGAUUCAUGGUUAAGGAACUAGGCAAAAUGGUCCUGUAACUUCGGGAUAAAGGACGCUCUUGUGAAAGAGCCGCAGAUAAUAGGCCCAGGCGACUGUUUACCAAAAACACAUGGCUAUGCUAAUUCGCAAGAAGAUGUAUAUGGCCUGACACCUGCCCGGUGCCGGAAGGUUAAGAGGAGAGCUCAGAGGCAACUCGAAGGUUUGAAUUGAAGCCCCGGUAAACGGCGGCCGUAACUAUAACGGUCCUAAGGUAGCGAAAUUCCUUGUCGGGU
rnacentral:rRNA from 1 species